UACGUAGGGGGCGAGCGUUGUCCGGAUUUAUUGGGCGUAAAGAGCUCGUAGGCGGCUUAGCAAGUCGGGUGUGAAAACUCCAGGCUCAACCUGGAGACGCCACUCGAGACUGCUAUGGCUAGAGUCCGGUAGGGGACCACGGAAUUCCUGGUGUAGCGGUGAAAUGCGCAGAUAUCAGGAGGAACACCGGUGGCGAAGGCGGUGGUCUGGGCCGGCACUGACGCUCAUGCACGAAAGCGUGGGGAGCAAACAGG
rnacentral:rRNA from 1 species